AGCGAACGCUGGCGGCAGGCUUAACACAUGCAAGUCGAACGGUCCUUCGGGAUAGUGGCGGACGGGUGAGUAACACGUGGGAACGUACCCUUAGGUUCGGAACAACACAGGGAAACUUGUGCUAAUACCGGAUAAGCCCUUCGGGGGAAAGAUUUAUCGCCUUUGGAGCGACCCGCGUCUGGUUAGCUUGUUGGUGAGGUAAUGGCUCACCAAGGCUACGAUCAGUAGCUGGUCUGAGAGGAUGGCCAGCCACACUGGGACUGAGACACGGCCCAGACUCCUACGGGAGGCAGCAGUGGGGAAUCUUGCGCAAUGGGCGAAAGCCUGACGCAGCCAUGCCGCGUGGAUGAUGAAGGUCUUAGGAUUGUAAGAUCCUUUCACCGGGGACGAUAAUGACGGUACCCGGAGAAGAAGCCCCGGCUAACUUCGUGCCAGCCGCCGCCGUAA
rnacentral:rRNA from 1 species